rnacentral:rRNA from 1 species
GACGAACCGUGCGAACGUUAUUCGGAAUCACUGGGCUUAAAGCGCGUGUAGGCGGGUCGGUGCGUCGGCCGCUGAAAUCCCCCGGCUCAACCGGGGAAGGGGCGCCGAUACGACCGGCCUGGAGCGACGUAGGGGGAACUGGAACUUCCGGUGGAGCGGUGAAAUGCGUAGAGAUCGGGAGGAACAUCAGUGGCGAAGGCGGCCAUCUGGGCCGUCCCUGACGCUGAGGCGCGAAGGCGUGGGGAGCGAACGGG